rnacentral:rRNA from 1 species
UACAGAGGGUGCGAGCGUUGUCCGGAAUCACUGGGCGUAAAGGGCGCGUAGGUGGUGGCUUAAGCGUGCGGUGAAAGCUCGGAGCUCAACUCCGAGUCGGCCGUGCGAACUGGGCUCACUGGAGCAUAGUAGAGGCAGGUGGAAUUCCGGGUGUAGCGGUGGAAUGCGUAGAGAUCCGGAGGAACACCGACGGCGCAGGCAGCGUCCUGGCCGCUUGCUGACACUGAGGCACGAAAGCUGGGGGAGCAAACAGG